UGCUUGACACUCGCUACUCCUGCGUUGCUUGUGCAGGUGAAACAGAUAACGAGCCGAAAUCAUAUUAUCAACCAUGGCACGAAUAACCACCGUUCACCGACUUCGUUAACAAUCUUCGGCCGUCGAUCAUUUCGAAAAAUUCAAACGGAUACCUGUUAUCGCGCCCUCUACCUUAUCUAUGACACCUGCUGGAUAAGAGAGAAAUCGGACAACAUAGAAAUUUCUUUCUAUCGACGAAACGUAAAGGGAAACGAGAUGGAAGUAUACGUCUCUUGUACAGCUCGUUUAUUGGGAAACCUAAAGAGACCGUUAAACGAGCUGGGCGGGCUUUGAUUUUAAUCGAAGGUUAUGCCGCCGGCAAUAAUCGGCAGUUAGCCGAGCACCAGUCUCCGAUGAGGCUGGGGUUUGCUGAUAACAGACUUAGCAGGGGUGGCAAGUGGCGCAGCAAGGGGUGUGGAGGAGGGUUAAAACCCCCUCCGGUAACAGCCAACCAUGUUACGAAUCUCUGGUCGGCGUCACGGCUACAUUGCUAGAAGAGCGGAUCAGGAGGGCCAGGUGGAAGGAGGAACGUGUAUCGAUGCCGGCUGGGAUAAUCGAUUGAUCGCCUUCUUAAUUAGCGGCCGGGGUAUUUAGAGUGCCCAUUCAAUUACACAGUUGCGUAAUCUGCUUACGCAGCCUCCAUCACCGAGCUUCCUCUAGCCAGAGCUAUCCCCGUUUCACGUCACGUGGACUGUAUCACGGUGCUCGUCGCCACUCAGAAAUUGGAUUCGAUGCUGUUCCAGCUUUGACGAGAGACUCCGAUUAACGGAGAAUCACGAGCAACGGCGUAAAGUUUCGUUCGAUUCUGCAACUAACCGCCUCUCGAGAAGCAAGACUCUCUGAGUUGGUGGAAACGACCGUUUUAGUCCUCGAUAACAACAACGAAAUUCAUUCGCUUUUCGAUCGUACCAAUCUAUAGUUCGACAAAGCCCGACGUCCUCUACUUUCGCAAACGAAUGGACAGAGGGAUGGCACACGAAAACAGUGAACAUGAACGACGCGACGAGACGCGUCGCGACGCUUGCCAACACCCGGACCAGGGGUUCGUCGCCAACCACUCCGGACUGUACCAGCCAGUUUCGUCGUUCAACGCUUUUUGCUGUCGCGAAAGUUAACGAGUCGUGAGACGGAAGAACGACGUGAGGAAACACGAUGAGGGCACAGCGAAAUCAACGACGUCUAAACCUUCUAAAUAUCGUAGGAGUUGGAUAAAAAUACCUCGAGAUUCGUCUUCGAAUUUGAAAAGAUUGGUCGAUUACGAUAAGAGAUUAAGUAAAUUUUCUAACAAAUAUUUAAUAUUUUUUAAGAUAAAACGAAUCUCGUAGUCAUUCGUAGAUAUAACUAAGAGAGGUACACGUGAUAGAAUCUCGAUGAGAAAUGAAUAUCGUCGGAGAACAGUUUUUCCGUUGUAAUGAAUUCUUGUUCACUUUUCUGGACCACAAACCUUGCGAAAAAGAUUAUUCGUGCAAGAGACAAAACUUGUCUCUUGGAUGCAAGGUAAGGGUAAAAGAAACCAAAACGUUGGAUCGUUCGAAUUCUUUACACCCGGCUAUACACCGAAAAUGUAAUAAAUUUCUUGGUCGGCGCUAUGAAUCUUCAUCCCCCGGUAUUGCAGCGGUGCUUUUCCCGCGAAUCGAGCAAGGGUGUAUUGAGUGUCUGGCCGAGUUGUCCUCGCGUACCUUCAUCCUACUUUCUCUUCUUUCCGCCAGAAGGACAUAGAGGUUGAUACGUCUGACCAGAUGGAAUUUUUCCACUUUAUUUUCCUGGUCUUGCGCACGAUAUCAAAUUCCAUUGCCUCCUUUCCCCCUCUCUUUCUCCGUCACUACUCUUUGCCUGGCGGUCUCGCACGCUGUAUUUCACAUAGACGUUCGUCCUUGAUCUUCUCUGCCUCUCUAUCCGACCAUUUCUCCGUCUCUGCCUCGCACGCUUCGCUACCAGCAAGGAUAUUCAGUUCUCUGUCGUCAGUUGCUCUCUUUUGUGAGCAGAACGGAAGACAAGACAAAUACGGAAAACGAAGAGCCGGGAGGAGUACACGACGACACUGCUUCCGGAAUAACGCGAUUAUAUCGAAGUCGUGGCACCAGCCGUGCGCCCAGAAAUCGAUACCUAUCGGCGGAGAAGUAUGAAGUGCGUUUAAAUUUGUCGGAAGUCAUAAAUCGCAACCGAAAUAUAUUACCCUUUCGUACAACCAGUUCCUGUGAAACUUUUAACCGAAUACCACGACACUUAGCCUUUGCACUUUUAAUGCGCCACGGAACGAACCACGUCGCGAAACUCGUCCAAAUUGUCCAGUCAAGAUAUUGAACGAUAAAAAAGGAAAAUAGCUGAGGACCGUAUAUAUCCUAUCGAGCCGCACAUGUAUAUGGCGUAGGAGACGAAAUGGCUGAUUCUUCUUAAAAAAAAGAAAUAAAAAAUUUAAUAUGAAAUUUCCUUGCCGUGGCUAACGUGGAAUCAAUUCCUUACCGAGUAUAUUACGAUUUUCACCCCAUCUUGUAGACGUUAUAGACGUAAUCGUGUGCUUUUGAAUUGUAUUAUAUGGUUUUCGAUCAAUGGAAGAUGGAGAAAUAGCAAGAGUACGACGAUUCCCGCGCAACGAAUCAAACACUUUAGAACCGAGACGUUGUAAAUCAAUAAUCCAUUGAACAGAAAGGUAGCGCGAAUAAGUUUAACGAAAGUCUCACGCGCGGCUCUCGAGGAUUCGCUUCCGCGCUAUCCCCGCGUGACAGAUAAAGCGGAACGACUACUCGCAAACUCUCUAAUCAAAGAGCGUUCUAUCAAGUUUGUUCUAUGCACUUGAUUACGUAGAAUGCGAGACGGUAACGUUGUUGCCGGUGUCUGAAUCGCGAGGUAUCGAGGUACGACUUUAAUUAAGUCAGAUUUAUGGAGUAAAUAUCACGGAUAAGGUACGUGUAUAUAUACACCACUGUCGACGAGGAAACUCAGCCACGAUUGGAUUCUCCAUAAUUUUGCGUUAAACUUCCUAACGACCGUGAAGUCGAGUGGACAUUAAUUACAUCAGACGAAGACUAUCGAUGUCUCAGCAAAAGGAUGUCAUCUUCUGAACGCGAAACUGUUGCUAGCGUUUCCCAAUAAAAAUCAUAAUAAUAAUAAUAACGACGAUAAAGGAAAAUUACUUGAAUUAAUCAAGAACGCGGUAACGAUUUUCUCGUAAUCGAUGUUUCCAGAAAAUUGAUACUCGUCAUCGGUUAUUGGAAAAGCCAAGUGUAUUUGCAGGUCCAGCACUCUUCUCGUGCCAAGUUUCAGAUUGGAAACCCACCGCGGUUAUUAGUUAUACAAGUAGUUUCCAACAUCUCUAGGGAGCGGUUCUCGGGGUUAAAGCGAGGCUUGAUUAGGCGCGGCAACUUGUGUUUCCAUCCUGACUCCUUACACAAACUUAUACCAUAUUAAAUUGCGCUUAAGUCAAGCACGUGCUCGAAGGUCACAGUUCGUAGAACAACGAAGGAAGGUUAUGAAUCGAGAAGGUAAACGAGAAAGAAAGAGAAAGAGAGAGAGAGAGAGAGCAGAAGAUGAAGGAAGAUAGGAACGCGAAUCGUAGGAAACGCAACUACAGGCCGUAAAGAUACGAGGUGCUAACGUGUCAAAUGAGAAGAAACUUGGAGGAAUUUAAUAUGCCGGUCCGGAUGUAGUAGAAACGCCACAUCACAUCACGCGGGACCAUGCGAUUCUACAAGGGAGAAAGGGGUUUAAACCUAACCGGAUGAACGAACGGCGGAGUAUGCGGAAAGAUAGAAUGAGAUAUGGUAGCUUAAUUCUGUUACAAAGUUACGCGACUUUCUGGAACUGUCCUCCCAGGACCUAAUUAUGCGGCUGUCUCCGAAGAGAAUUCUGCGAAUCUACUGGUUCAACGUAAAUAUCGUACGCUAACUAACAUGCGGGAGAUUUACGCGUGUCAAGCCAAACCUGACCUGCUUUCUUCGCUUUCAUGGCCAUGCGUGAAGCAGAAUUAACGAGAAACUACGCCAAGUACACCGGAGCUCGAGAAGUUCGAACUUCCCCGUACGAAGUUUACAAGGAAACAGUAAAACCAAGUAUUCCAGUGCCAUACGUUAUGUUAAUUCGUAAAUGACCCGUAGAAAUUCCGAUAUAGGAGUAAAACGAUACGAAAGCGAUUUAACGAUAGUCGCGGCUGCGUGCUACCGGCGAUCGAGUUCCGAACUUGGAGGGAAACACAGGAAUGUAUUUGACCGUAUUAGCUAGAGAGGAAUGUUUGUCAGAAGCAAACGAGCGAAACCUGUAAUUAUGUUUGGCGUCGAUUCCUUAAGUACACACAGUCGGAUUCGCUACAGAUCCUGCGUCCGUCAAACGAACGUUAUAUACUGCUCGAGCCUAAGGGUGGACCGCUGAGUCCACCAACAACAACACGAAUAUAGACGAGUGGAAAUUAAUUUCGAUACCGAGCGAUCACGGAUCCGAAAUAAUAAAAAU